UACCAGCACCCCGAGUGGUCGGGACGAUUAUUGGCCUAAAGCAUCCGUAGCCGGUUCUACAAGUCUUCCGUUAAAUCCACCUGCUUAACAGAUGGGCUGCGGAGGAUACUAUGGAGCUAGGAGGCGGGAGAGGCAAGCGGUACUUAGUGGGUAGGGGUAAAAUCCGUUGAUCCAUUGAAGACCACCAGUGGCGAAGGCGGCUUGCCAGAACGCACU
rnacentral:rRNA from 1 species